rnacentral:tRNA from 1 species
GCCACGGUGGUGCAGUGGGUAGCCCCCCUCACAGUAAGAAGGUCGAGGGUUCGAAUCUCGGCCGGGGCC